AUUGAACGCUGGCGGCAGGCCUAACACAUGCAAGUCGAACGGCAGCACGGUAUGAGCUUCUUGAUUCAGGGGGCGAGGGGAACGGGGGAGUAAUACAUCUGAACGUGUACUGUUGCGGGGGAGAUCUAGUCGAGAGACUUACUAAUACCGCACAUGACCCGUGCGUGUGAGAGCGGGACCUCUUCGCCUCUUGCGAGAGUAACUGACGCGAUGUCUGAUUAGCUAGGUGGGGGGGUAAAGGCCCACCAAGGCGACGAUGCGUAGCUGGUCUGAGAGGACGAUCAGCCACACUGGGACUGAGACACGGCCCAGACUCCUACGGGAGGCAGCAGUGGGGAAUUUUGGACAAUGGGCGAAAGCCUGAUCCAGCCAUGCCGCGUGUGUGAAGAAGGCCUUCGGGUUGUAAAGCACUUUUGUUCGGAAAGAAAUGGCUCUGGUUAAUACCUGGCGGUGAUGACGGUACCGGAAGAAUAAGCACCGGCUAACUUCGUG
rnacentral:rRNA from 1 species